ensembl:lncRNA
GCAGGGCCAGAUGGAUUACUAGGACGUGUACUACGAGCAUGCGCGGGCCAACUGACAAGUGUGUUCACUGACAUUUUCAGCCUCUCCCUGACCGAGUCUGUAGUACCUACAUCUUUCAAGCAGACCACCAUAGUUCCUGUGCCCAAGAAAGCGAAGCUUGUUUGGAAACCAACUGGGAGACCCUGGAGUUCUGACACUACUUAGUGGACUGGCUCAACUCCAGGAGAUAACAACGAGACACCCAACAUCACUACCAUGGAUUGAAGAUCCCCAGGUCCAGGGCCAGAACCCGUUAACACACUCAGGUGUCCCCCUCCCUCCAACUACAAGGGGCACUCUCUACCCCUUUUCACUUUUGGAGCUGGACAUAGGAGGAAACGGGCUGAGCAGCAAUGGCCUGAGGAUGUUGACAUCCUACAUGAGACUCCACUCAAGACUGCAGUACCUGGGGCUGGCCCGGACCACUGGUGCGGACCUAGAGGCAUGGCGGGAGCUGUUUGACUCUCUGAAGGGAAACGUGACCCUCAGCCAUAUUAUCCUGGAUGAGAGUAACCUAGGAGACCAGGGAGCCAGGCUAUUCGCUGACACGCUGAGAGCCAAUCAGAGCCUGAGGCAGGUGGAUCUGGACAGUAAUGGGAUUGGUGAGGUGGGAGGAAGUGAAAUCAUAGAGGCGCUGCUUUGUAGGACACAGUUUCCGCUGAGACACCUGAGUCUGGAGGGGAAUGGUAUCAGCACCGGACUAAUGGGUAGAAUUCAACAGGAAGUGAGAUUUAACUGACAGAAACAUGUUUUUAUUUAAUUUAAUUUUUUACAUAUUACAGAACUGGAAUUUAUCCAAACUGAUGAACAAGGUAGGGCACAGCGCAUAGCACAAAAGAGGAACAGUCAAAAUAGAUGUUGUGGAAAAGACUAAAUAAUAUGGAUUUGUCUGACUAUUUCUACACAAGAUCAGCAUCUAGCUACUGUACACGAGACUAGACUAUUCCUCACUGUUAAUAAAUUACUUCUCACAUCUAUGUUGAAUCAUCUCAAUUGUAGCUCAGUCAGUGUAAAUUGCAGGUCAGUGGAAUAAAACUGGAAAAACAUUUGACUCUCUUUGCCAACUCACAUGGAGGGCCUUUCCCUCUGCUACUGGUGGCCCUGAUUUAAAUAUCUUUGUAGAGCUCACAGACAUGGCCAUCAGCUCAGCAGGUAGGAGUGCGUUGGGAUUUAGCUAGGCUGCUCUGCGGUAUGGAUGAGACGUCAGAGAAAAGCCCUGUAAAGUAAGUCUUUCUUCCCAGAACCUGUGGUGAGGCCAGGCCAGGAUGUUUACCUUGUGCUAUUUUCUUCCCACCCUGAUUUAUUCACAAAUGCUGCCCUCAGGACCACACUCUCCUCCUUGUUGACGCUUGUUAUUCCCUAAAGUUUAGUAUUCCCCUGGAAAAUUUGGAGAAAUAUCCA